rnacentral:rRNA from 1 species
GGACUACCGGGGUAUCUAAUCCUGUUUGAUCCCCACACUUUCGUGCUUCAGCGUCAGUUAUAUGUUAGUAAGCUGCCUUCGCAAUCGGUGUUCUGUGCAAUAUCUAAGCAUUUCACCGCUACACUGCACAUUCCGCCUACCUCACAUAUACUCAAGGCGCACAGUAUCAAAGGCAAUUCUCCAGUUGAGCUGAAGUAUUUCACCUCUGACUUAUGCGUCCGCCUACGCACCCUUUAAACCCAAUAAAUCCGGAUAACGCUCGCAUCCUCCGUAUUACCGCGGCUGCUGGCAC